rnacentral:rRNA from 1 species
AUUGAACGCUGGCGGCAGGCCUAACACAUGCAAGUCGAGCGGUAGCACAGAGAGCUUACUCUCGGGUGACGAGCGGCGGACGGGUGAGUAAUGUCUGGGAAACUGCCUGAUGGAGGGGGAUAACUACUGGAAACGGUAGCUAAUACCGCAUAACGUCGCAAGACCAAAGAGGGGGACCUUCGGGCCUCUUGCCAUCAGAUGUGCCCAGAUGGGAUUAGCUAGUAGGUGGGGUAACGGCUCACCUAGGCGACGAUCCCCUAGCUGGUCUGAGAGGAUGACCAGCCACACUGGAACUGAGACACGGUCCAGACUCCUACGGGAGGCAGCAGUGGGGAAUAUUGCACAAUGGGCGCAAGCCUGAUGCAGCCAUGCCGCGUGUAUGAAGAAGGCCUUCGGGUUGUAAAGUACUUUCAGCGGGGAGGAAGGUGUUGUGGUUAAUAACCACAGCAAUUGACGUUACCCGCAGAAGAAGCACCGGCUAACUCCGUGCCAGCCGCCGCCGUAAGAC